rnacentral:siRNA from 1 species
CUAGUAGGUGCUAACAUGGUU